UACCUGGUCAUAUCCCUAAUCUUGGACCUCGAGAACUCCUGACUUGCGUGUGUGCACACUGAGCAUUAGUGACAUGGAGGGAAAAGAGCACUUCUCACGGCCCCUUCCUAGCAGACUAGCAUGCCAUUGUCUGAGCUCCAGAGGAACUCAGAGGCUGCACACAGCAACAGGAGGUUAUGCUGUGGAUGACAAUGAUGUGGUUUCUCUGCCACCAUCCAACUACAGACGACUCCAAGUUAACAACAAGAACUGUGGAAUCUACAGGAGCAUCCUCUUGUGAAAGCCUCCCAAUAAUCCAGAAAACCUGUCUGACCAGGUAAAGAAAUAUCUCAGAGGAGCUUUGGGAAUUAAAUGUGCUUCCCUUCCUGAACUCUAGAGUGGAUACCUGAGAAGGGCAGUAUCCAUGGACCACCAGUCCCAGGCCUCCACUAACAUGAAGUAGAACUUGAGGUCAUACCCUUGGCCCAUCUUUCACUGGUAUUAGACAGAGACAAUUUACAAACAAAUACUGAAGCACUUAAUUAGAAUUCCAACAUAAUUUCUCUAAAUUGGCAUUCAGAAUAUUUGACCCCUGGAGAAGAGAAAUCCGAAGCUAUAUGAGUUCUCAGGUUCUACCAGUUGUUAUUCUAAAGGUGACAGAUGUUUGCACUUCAUCUCUACACUCAGCAAAAUCCAGUCUGAUGCUCAAACACAAGAUGGAACAACCAACCUAGAAGACAUGGCAGAGGACAAGAGAUUCCUCCAGACCCCGAUCUUCUUCUUCCAGGACUUCCCACCAAGCCUCAAAGAUCCACAAAGGGCUACAGGGAAGUAAUGGAGACUGAACACAUGGAACAGAACAGAAAGCUCAGAAACAGACCCAGUGAAAUCCUGCCAGCUAAUUUUCUCAUAAUCACCCAGAGAAAUCAAGGCAGAGAGAAGGGUUUGUCCACAAAUGACUGCAGAAGAAGAUUUAAAAACAAUAAUAAAGAACCCAUUUUAAAGCAUGAA